AUGUCGAAGCGAGCUGGUCCCCCGAAGCACCAGAACACCUACGCAUGGAAGCCCAACCUCGGCCGGAAGAUCAACGAGACCGAGCCCGGGGGCAGGUUCCGGCCUCUGUCGGAGAUCACCGGCGUCUGCCAGCGCUGCCGGGACCAAAUCGACUGGAAGCGCAAAUACGGCAAGUACAAGCCAAUUGUUGAGCCUGCAAAAUGCCAGAAGUGCAGUAAAAGAAACGUCCGGCAGGCAUACCACAACGUCUGCACUGGUUGCUCCAAGGAGCUUGGGAUUUGUGCCAAGUGCUGCACCUCUGUUAAGCAGCUUGUUGGAAGGGAUGCUGAGGAAGCAAACAGUGAGCGCAAAGAACUAGAGGAGGCCAUCAGAUAUGCUAGGGAGAGGGAACGACGGACACUUCUUCGCCUUAUGAACAAAAACAAGGAUGAGAGCGGGCCAUCAGUCCCAAAGAUUGCAGACCGAGAUCGGGAAGGCGACCUUUUCCCUGUUGCAUCCCUGGACGAAUAUGCUGAACAGGCUGUACAGAAGGAUGAGUCUGAUGAAGAAGAUGCCAGGGAUUUUGUGAAAGAUUAA
rnacentral:rRNA from 1 species